UGCGUAGGUGGUUUCUUAAAUCAGAGGUGAAAGGCUACGGCUCAACCGUAGUAAGCCUUUGAAACUGGGAAACUUGAGUGCAGGAGAGGAGAGUGGAAUUCCUAGUGUAGCGGUGAAAUGCGUAGAUAUUAGGAGGAACACCAGUUGCGAAGGCGGCUCUCUGGACUGUAACUGACACUGAGGCACGAAAGCGUGGGGAGCAAACA
rnacentral:rRNA from 1 species